CCGUGAAACUGCGAAUGGCUCAUUAAAUCAGUUAUCGUUUAUUUGAUAGUACCUUACUACUUGGAUAACCGUGGUAAUUCUAGAGCUAAUACAUGCUGAAAACCCCAACUUCGGGAGGGGUGUAUUUAUUAGAUAAAAAACCAACGCCCUUCGGGGCUUCUUGGUGAUUCAUGAUAACUUCACGGAUCGCAUGGCCUUGCGCCGGCGACGGUUCAUUCAAAUUUCUGCCCUAUCAACUUUCGAUGGUAAGGUAUUGGCUUACCAUGGUUUCAACGGGUAACGGGGAAUUAGGGUUCGAUUCCGGAGAGGGAGCCUGAGAAACGGCUACCACAUCCAAGGAAGGCAGCAGGCGCGCAAAUUACCCAAUCCCGACACGGGGAGGUAGUGACAAUAAAUACUGAUACAGGGCUCUUUUGGGUCUUGUAAUUGGAAUGAGUACAAUUUAAACCUCUUAACGAGGAACAAUUGGAGGGCAAGUCUGGUGCCAGCAGCCGCGGUAAUUCCAGCUCCAAUAGCGUAUAUUAAAGUUGUUGCAGUUAAAAAGCUCGUAGUUGAAACUUGGGCCUGGCUGGCAGGUCCGCCUCACCGCGUGUACUUGUCCGGCCGGGCCUUUCCUUCUGGAGAACCUCAUGCCCUUCACUGGGUGUGUUGGGGAACCAGGACUUUUACUUUGAAAAAAUUAGAGUGUUCAAAGCAGGCCUUUGCUCGAAUACGUUAGCAUGGAAUAAUAGAAUAGGACGUGCGGUCCUAUUUUGUUGGUUUCUAGGACCGCCGUAAUGAUUAAUAGGGACAGUCGGGGGCAUCAGUAUUCAAUUGUCAGAGGUGAAAUUCUUGGAUUUAUUGAAGACUAACUACUGCGAAAGCAUUUGCCAAGGAUGUUUUCAUUAAUCAGUGAACGAAAGUUAGGGGAUCGAAGACGAUCAGAUACCGUCGUAGUCUUAACCGUAAACUAUGCCGACUAGGGAUCGGGCGAUGUUCUUUUUCUGACUCGCUCGGCACCUUACGAGAAAUCAAAGU
rnacentral:rRNA from 1 species